rnacentral:rRNA from 2 species
GUUAAGCGACUAAGCGUACACGGUGGAUGCCCUGGCAGUCAGAGGCGAUGAAGGGCGUGCUAAUCUGCGAUAAGCGCCGGUAAGGUGAUAUGAACCGUUAUAACCGGCGAUACCCGAAUGGGGAAACCCAGUGUGACUCGUCACACUAUCAUUAACUGAAUCCAUAGGUUAAUGAGGCGAACCGGGGGAACUGAAACAUCUAAGUACCCCGAGGAAAAGAAAUCAACCGAGAUUCCCCCAGUAGCGGCGAGCGAACGGGGAGGAGCCCAGAGCCUGAAUCAGCAUGUGUGUUAGUGGAAGCGUCUGGAAAGGCGCGCGAUACAGGGUGACA